rnacentral:rRNA from 1 species
CGCUCUUUGUGCCCACUAAAUAGAGAGUCGUGCCUGCCCAGUGAAUAUUUUUAACGGCCGCAGUACCCUGACUGUGCUAAGGUAGCAUAAUCACUUGCUUUUUAAUUGAAAGCUAGAAUGAAUGGCUUGACGUAAACACCCCUGUCUCUUUUACACUAUCUAAAAAUUAAUCUUUAGGUGAAGAAGCCUAAAUACUUUCAAAAGACGAAAAGACCCUAUCGAGCUUAAAAAAAAAAUAAACAAAAUUUUUAGAAAAACUAAAAUUAUAAUAAACUUUUGGUUGGGGCGACAGAAGAACAAAAAAAACUUCUUUUUAAAAAAAUAACAUAUUAGUUUUUUGAUCCACCACUAGUGAUUAAAAAAAAAGUUACCGUAGGGAUAACAGCGUAAUUUCUUCGGAGAGUUCAAAUUGAAAAAGAAGUUUGCGACCUCGAUGUUGGAUUAGAAAAUCUUUUUGGUGCAGCCGCUAUAAUAGAAGGUCUGUUCGACCUUUAAAUUUCU